AUUCCGGUUGAUCCUGCCGGAGGCCAUUGCUAUCGGAGUCCGAUUUAGCCAUGCUAGUCGUGCGAGUUCAGACUCGCGGCACCGAGCUCAGUAACACGUGGCCAAAACUACCCUACAGAGACGGAUACCCUCGGGAAACUGAGGUUAACCCGUCAUACCGAUCUCAGGCUUGAAUCGCAGAGAUCACAAAAUGCCCCGGCGCUGUAGGAUGUGGCUGCGGUUGAUUAGGUAGACGGUGGGGUAACGGCCCACCGUGCCCAUAAUCAGUACAGGUUGUGAGAGCAAGAACCUGGAGACGGAAUCUGAGACAAGAUUCCGGGCCCUACGGGGCGCAGCAGGCGCGAAACCUUUACACUGCACGCCAGUGCGAUAAGGGGAC
rnacentral:rRNA from 1 species